rnacentral:lncRNA from 1 species
UUCUCCAGGUAGUGUAUUAGAGCAGAGCAGAAUGCAGGGGUUACUGUGUUGAACAAAAGGCACACAUCAGAGAGACAGUUGCAAACUCAGAAUACUGGGUUAUGGGCAAAACUAACUGGUCCACAAGAGAAAAUGAGAGACUCGAUUUGGCUGCCAGGCACACCUGGGCCUAGGCAAGAACACAAGAGGUUUCUGGGGGUGGGGAGGAAAUAGGUCUCGCUGAAGGUGACAGAUCCCUUGGGGGGCGGCCAGCUGUCUGGAUCACUGUCCAGGGACUGUGGCCAGCCCAGAUACCUCCGAGGUGAGUCCAGAUCACUAGGAGCAGCAGUCUGUCGGUGGGAUGCGAUGGAUGGCGAUGGCUGUGGCAGCGCAGGUCUGUGGGCAGAAUGAUGUAGUCGUCUGGAAGUCUGGUGGGGAGGAGAGGGCUUGGCAGCGGCGGCAGUGGGUGGUCUGUCCAGUGUGUAACAGGAGCCCAGCUUGCAGCUGGAGCGCAGGACAGCGUCCAAAUGUACAUGGGAGGGGCUGGCUCCUGCUGCCGCCCCUGGGCCUC